rnacentral:rRNA from 1 species
GACGAACGCUGGCGGCGUGCUUAACACAUGCAAGUCGAACGGAAAGGCCCUGCUUUUGUGGGGUGCUCGAGUGGCGAACGGGUGAGUAACACGUGAGUAACCUGCCCUUGACUUUGGGAUAACUUCAGGAAACUGGGGCUAAUACCGGAUAGGAGCUCCUGCUGCAUGGUGGGGGUUGGAAAGUUUCGGCGGUUGGGGAUGGACGCGCGGCUUAUCAGCUUGUUGGUGGGGUAGUGGCUUACCAAGGCUUUGACGGGUAGCAGGCCUGAGAGGGUGACCGGGCACAUUGGGACUGAGAUAGGGCCCAGACGCCAACGGGAGGCAACAGUGGGGAAUAUUGCACAAUGGGCGGAAGCGUGAUGCAGCAACGCCGCGUGCGGGAAGCCGGCCUUCGGGUUGUAAACCGCUUUCGCCUGUGACGAAGCGUGAGUGACGGUACUGGGUAAAGAAGCACCGGCUAACUACGUG